rnacentral:misc_RNA from 1 species
AUGGUAUCAGAGCUAGGUUUCUGGUUUGAAGAGGUCUAACGUACUGUCUGAUGGCUAGCAAAUAUGCUGGAAUUAAUCCUACCUUGCCUACAAUUCCACUCUUCAAAGGCAGCGGGUAUGAAGUCUGGAGCACAAAGGUGAAGACUCUCUUCAUCUCCCAAGAUUUAUGGGAAUUGACAGACAGACACUAUGCAGAAAAAGGUGUGUCAGAUGAGUCUCUAAAAGAUCUUCGAAAGAGAGAUGCCAAAGCUGUCUUUUUCAUUUAACAAACAGUAGAUGAUUCAAUCUUCCCUCGAAUUUCUACAAUAACAAAAUUGAAGGAACCAUGGGGUGCACUCAAAAAUGGGUAUCAAGGAAUAGCUAAGGUGGUUACGGUCAAGCUUUAGACUUCGUUGGAAAUUUGAGAGCUCCUUUAUGAAAGAUGGUGAUUUCAUGCAUGACUACUUCAAUAGCUUGAUGGAAAUGGUGAAUCAAAUCUGAAAGUAUGGUGAACAGCUAUCUAAUUAGAAGGUUAUUGAGAAGAUUUUGAGGAGCUUACCAAGGAAAUAUGAAUCAGUGGUUGCUACCAUAGAAGAAUUUAAAGAUUUAUCAGUGCUUGCAGUUGAUGAGUUGUUGGGCUCUUUACAAUCUCAUGAAGAUAGGCAGAGAAGCUAUGAAGAAAGCUCUAUUGAAAAGGCCUUCCACACCAAAUUGCAGCUGUCUAAAGACAAUCACACAGUGGAAGAAUGCAGUAGUAGUAGUAACAAUUGCGGAGGCCAUUCUUUUCAAGGAAAAAGAGGUAG